rnacentral:lncRNA from 1 species
UCAAAGCCUCAAUUACUAUUGAGCACAGGGUUUGAAAAACCUCCUUUAUAAAACGUCAUUGCUAUAUCUUGUUUCAAACUGAAUUUUUAUACAAAUUUAAACCCUGUGUAUAUAGGUGCGAACAAGGCAUAACACUACUUCCAAAUAACUGCACAUUGACCCACACAUACACACACACACACACAUUCAUAUAACAGUUUAAUUGAAAAGU